UGUCUGUAGGGCUGAGCAAUAAGUCAAUAUUUAUCAUCUACUAACUAUCAUUGUGAUCAUACCACAGUAUUUUCUAUAUUGGAAAACAUUAUGCACUUUUGUCUGAGAUAACAAUGGAAAACAAUUUGAAGUUAGAUUUCUCCCAGCUGCCCAAAGUGGGAAACUACUAAACAAUCUGUUGUUUUUCAUAUAUAAACAGGUAUCAAAACAAUCACUGAUUUGGUGAUGACCUUCUGGUUUCUUUUCCAUUUUACCCAGCCACACUUCUCCAUGUUUUCAGAAAGACUAAAGGCCCAGUCCACAUGUACACGUUUUUUUUCUUUUUUUUUUUUUUUUUAAAUGUUGCCUUUUUAAUUACAUUUUA